GCGGGAGGGAUGCAGUCGGGUUGACAAUCCAGCCUUCCAAGCUGAAUACCCGGGUUCGAUUCCCGGUACCCGCUCCA
rnacentral:tRNA from 1 species